rnacentral:tRNA from 1 species
AAGAAAUUAGUUAAAUCCAUAACAUUAAUAUGUCAUGUUAAAAUUAUUAUAUAAAUAAUAUUUCUUU